rnacentral:lncRNA from 1 species
GCGUGAACGUGUAUAGAUGCAUACAAAGAGUGACACGGUAGCCAGAUAUGGCAUUUAAACAUAAUAAUCUCAGGAAGGAGCCAUUUACAUUCCUUAGGUACAUAUCACAUUAGUCACAUGACCCAAGGACAGCAGGACAAAGUUGACAUACAUGAUAUCACGCCAGAUGCUAUAAAUACAUACUAUAUACAUGAUAUAAGAUCUAGUCCCACUAGUCCUGCCGAUUGCUGAAUGGCCUGCAAGCCAAAUCCCACCUACCACGACAACGUAUCGGCAGAAAUGUAGAUAAAAAGGAAAAGAAAAAGGACAAAUAAUCCAGGCGGUGAACUUUGGGAACACUACAGUCCGACGCCGUGCGCCUGUCGCCGUCGCCCAGCUUGUUGUCGCGUGUUUACGCGUAACCAUGGGAACGGCUGGGGGCCGGGGGGGGUGGAACGUUCCGGGAAUGUUUCGGGAACGUUGUCGCGUCUCGCAGGUCCGGGAUCAGUGGCGCGUUUUUGUUUUGUUUUUUUCCCUUAAAACUGACCCCGGAUCAGUCAUCUCGUUCCGGGUAGACUCGUCCGUACAGGAAUGAAUAUGUGUCUAUUUAUACAUUAGUCUUGAUAUUACGUUUAGUCAAUAAAAUGUCGAAUUGGGUUGAAUAAUAAAAUGUGUUUUUAAUAACCGUGACUGUCCAUAAACUCCAUAUCUUUUUGCGUGGACAUUUGGACGCAUUUACUUUCGGGACGAACGCCGGAGCAUCCGGGAAGUCCGGGAAUCGGCGCGGGGGGGAGGAAAUGGUGUGGGAACGGUCGCCUAAUUCCAGCCAGGCGCCGAGGGCACUUCCCCCCACGGUCCAGCCCACGACGCGGACACCCCGCGAUGUCCCGACCCCAGUCCCGAACCCGAGCCGCGGCGGCCAGGUGAGCGGGCCGGACCGCGGAGUUGAGGAACUUUUUGUUUUGUUUAUUCCCCCCGUGGAUGUGGGGACGAGAAACGCGACCAGCCCGGCUCCGACGGAACGAAUUCACGACGGUCGAGGCCUUUUGCUGCGUCUGAUGGGAUCCGGGGCAGGAAUUUAGGGGUCCGGCCUCGAAGACGAAGAUGAUUGUUAUCCGGCCACUCGUGAAUAAACAGCGACAACAAC